CCUACGGGAGGCAGCAGUGAGGAAUAUUGGUCAAUGGGCGCAAGCCUGAACCAGCCAAGUCGCGUGAGGGAUGACGGUCCUAUGGAUUGUAAACCUCUUUUGUCGGGGAGCAAGGCCCGCCACGUGUGGCGGGAAGGAGAGUACCCGAAGAAAAAGCAUCGGCUAACUCCGUGCCAGCAGCCGCGGUAAUACGGAGGAUGCGAGCGUUAUCCGGAUUUAUUGGGUUUAAAGGGUGCGUAGGCGGAAGGUUAAGUCAGCGGUCAAAUGUCGGUGCUCAACACCGGCCUGCCGUUGAAACUGGUCGUCUUGAGUGAGCGAGAAGUAUGCGGAAUGCGUGGUGUAGCGGUGAAAUGCAUAGAUAUCACGCAGAAUUCCGAUUGCGAAGGCAGCAUACCGGCGCUAAACUGACGCUGAGGUACGAAAGCGUGGGGAUCGAACAGGAUUAGAUACCCCAGUAGUC
rnacentral:rRNA from 1 species